CUUUGCUGAACAUUAUUGCUGUUUACAGUUUAUCUCUAUCUAUAAUAAUAUUCAAGAUAAUACCCCAAAACAGCAAAAAUUCCCUAAAAUUACCAAUUCAGGGGCAGCAACCCAAUAACGGGUUGUCGGAUUCAUCUGAAAAUUUGAGGGCAGACAGAUCUUGACCUGAUACACAAUUUUACCCCAUGUCAGAUUUGCUCUAAAUGCUUUGGUUUUUGAGUUAUAAGCCAAAAACUGCAUUUUACCCCUAUGUUCUAUUUUUAGCCAUGGCGGCCAUCUUGGUUGGUUGGCCGGGUCACGCCACACAUUUUUUAAACUAGAUACCCCAAUGAUGAUUGUGGCCAAGUUUGGUUUAAUUUGGCCCAGUAGUUUCAGAGGAGAAGAUUUUUGUAAAAGUUAACGACGACGGACGACGGACGACGACGACGGACGACGGACGCCAAGUGAUGGGAAAAGCUCACUUGGCCCUUCGGGCCAGGUGAGCUAAAAACG
rnacentral:lncRNA from 1 species